rnacentral:rRNA from 1 species
AUUGAACGCUGGCGGCAGGCCUAACACAUGCAAGUCGAACGGUAACAGGAAGCAGCUUGCUGCUUUGCUGACGAGUGGCGGACGGGUGAGUAAUGUCUGGGAAACUGCCUGAUGGAGGGGGAUAACUACUGGAAACGGUAGCUAAUACCGCAUAACGUCGCAAGACCAAAGAGGGGGACCUUAGGGCCUCUUGCCAUCGGAUGUGCCCAGAUGGGAUUAGCUAGUAGGUGGGGUAACGGCUCACCUAGGCGACGAUCCCUAGCUGGUCUGAGAGGAUGACCAGCCACACGGGAACUGAGCAACGGUCCAAACCCCUACGGGGGGCAGGAGGGGGGAAUAUUGCACAAUGGGCGCAAGCCUGAUGCAGCCAUGCCGGGGGUAUGAAGAAGGCCUUCGGGUUGUAAAGUACUUUCAGCGGGGGGGAAGGGAGUAAAGUUAAUACCUUUGCUCAUUGACUUUACCCGAAGAAGAAGCCCCGGCUAACCCCGU